GACGAACGCUGGCGGCGUGCUUAACACAUGCCAGUCGAACGGAAAGGCCCUGCUUUUGUGGGGUGCUCGAGUGGCGAACGGGUGAGUAACACGUGAGUAACCUGCCCUUGACUUUGGGAUAACUUCAGGAAACUGGGGCUAAUACCGGAUAGGAGCUCCUGCUGCAUGGUGGGGGUUGGAAAGUUUCGGCGGUUGGGGAUGGACUCGCGGCUUAUCAGCUUGUUGGUGGGGUAGUGGCUUACCAAGGCUUUGACGGGUAGCCGGCCUGAGAGGGUGACCGGCCACAUUGGGACUGAGAUGCGGCCCAGACUCCUACGGGAGGAAGCAGUGGGGAAUAUUGCACAAUGGGCGGAAGCCUGAUGCAGCAACGCCGCGUGCGGGAUGACGGCCUUCGGGUUGUAAAACGCUUUCGCCUGUGACGAAGCGUGAGUGACGGUAAUGGGUAAAGAAGCACCGGCUAACUACG
rnacentral:rRNA from 1 species